UGGGGAAUAUUGGACAAUGGGCGAAAGCCUGAUCCAGCCAUGCCGCGUGUGUGAAGAAGGUCUUCGGAUUGUAAAGCACUUUCAGUUGGGAGGAAGGGCAGUAAGCGAAUACCUUGCUGUUUUGACGUUACCGACAGAAUAAGCACCGGCUAACUCUGUGCCAGCAGCCGCGGUAAUACAGAGGGUGCAAGCGUUAAUCGGAAUUACUGGGCGUAAAGCGCGCGUAGGUGGUUCGUUAAGUUGAAUGUGAAAGCCCCGGGCUCAACCUGGGAACGGCAUCCAAAACUGGCGAGCUAGAGUAGGGCAGAGGGUGGUGGAAUUUCCUGUGUAGCGGUGAAAUGCGUAGAUAUAGGAAGGAACACCAGUGGCGAAGGCGACCACCUGGGCUCAUACUGACACUGAGGUGCGAAAGCGUGGGGAGCAAACAGG
rnacentral:rRNA from 1 species